rnacentral:rRNA from 1 species
UACGGGGGGGGCAAGCGUUGUUCGGAAUUACUGGGCGUAAAGGGCUCGUAGGCGGCCAACUAAGUCAGACGUGAAAUCCCUCGGCUUAACCGGGGAACUGCGUCUGAUACUGGAUGGCUUGAGUUUGGGAGAGGGAUGCGGAAUUCCAGGUGUAGCGGUGAAAUGCGUUGAUAUCAUCAGGAACACCGGUGGCGAAAGCGGCUUACUGGGUCUCUUCUGACGCUGAGGAACGAAAGCUAGGGUAGCGAACGGG